rnacentral:lncRNA from 1 species
GGAGAACAGGUAGGAGUGUUUUGCUGGAGUGGUCCUGAUGUGGGAUGAUGGCGGCCCAGAUGAGAGGGGUGGCAAAUGAAACAAGCAGAAAGGAGAGAUGUAGGCCAUGGAACAGACAGAAGAGGACAUGGCCAGUGAGUGAAUGAAAUGAGAUGAAGAGGUAAAAAAGCGAAGUAUGUACCCAAGAUUACAGCUAAACUAGGACUUGAACCCAUGUCUGUCUGAAGUCCGAGCUGAAACUUUGGCCACUAAAUUGCCCUGUCUCACUACAGGAUGAAUCCUCCUGUCCUGUUGGGACCUGCCCUAUGGAGAGGGCCAUAGGACAAGCAAAUGGGGAUGAUUCCCAGCUGGUGAAGAACUGAGACCUUUAGUCCAGCAGUCCUUGUGGAGCUGAUUCCUGCCAGCAACCACGUAGUCGUGUAUGAGCCACCUCUCAAACAGGCUGUGAGUGAUCCAGGUGCAGGGGACCUGCUGGAGUGAAGCUUUUGGCAUGAUAAUUCAAUCCACGUUACUCCAUUGCCAUUUGUUACCACGUCCUUCAGUCUCCUCAAUCUCUCAGUCCCCUUAUUUUUCGUGACCUUGACAACUUUGAGGAGGACUCAUCAGUGAGAAUACCCUGAUUCAUUUGGAAUAGGAAUCACCUUACCUUUCCCAGCCUCACUUCUGGCUGCGAGAGCUCAUGGAGCAGCACUGAGAUUAAUGGCACAUGUGCAGAGGCCCUGGUGUGGGGCUUUUGUGAAUGUUUUUUAAGUUCCUGCCCAGGCUGACUCUAUCAUACAAGCUGUAACUUCUGCCAGUCCUAUCAGCCAGCAAACACAAAACUCUAGAGCAAGCCAAACAGUUCCAGGAUCACUAAGGAAUCAGAGAGCAGGACAUGGAGAUGAAGCCUGGAGCUCAUUUGUCCUGAAAGGCGGAAUCUUACUUCACAGAGAAACACCUCAUCGGAGCAUUUGCAGAUUCUGUUUCUCCUGCCUGCAGAAAGGGUGGGUGUGGCCAAGUUCAUCUCCAGCUUCGGAAAGGCUUGGUGCCAGAAGCCCUCACUUUGCCCUUCUCAAGUGGGCUGUAAGGACAAAGCUGCAGCACUGCCAAGGACAUGGAUCUCUCAAGCUCCUGUCUGGCACAUUGCAGGAAGUAAGGGGCAUGUCUAACCACCACGCUCAGCCAAGCCAAAGAACAAAGGCAGCGGCACUCUCUCUGGACCUUGGGGAAUAACACAGCCCUCCCAGGCAGAAGAUGCAAGCAUUCCUGUUGCAGUGCAAUUAGGAGCAGCGAAGAAACUCAGACAUGUGCCCCUUCUGUGUUGGCAACUGAUAUGACAGAACUUCAUGAGGUGCAAAAUA